UCGGGAAUUUUGGGCAAUGGGCGAAAGCCUGACCCAGCAACGCCGCGUGAAGGAUGAAGUCUCUCGGGAUGUAAACUUCGUAAGAAUAGGAAGAAUAAAUGACGGUACUAUUUGUAAGGUCCGGCUAACUACGUGCCAGCAGCCGCGGUAAUACGUAGGGACCAAGCGUUGUUCGGAUUUACUGGGCGUAAAGGGCGCGUAGGCGGCGUGGUAAGUCACUUGUGAAAUCUCCGAGCUUAACUCGGAACGGUCAAGUGAUACUGCUGUGCUAGAGUACAGAAGGGGCAAUCGGAAUUCUUGGUGUAGCGGUGAAAUGCGUAGAUAUCAAGAGGAACACCUGAGGUGAAGACGGGUUGCUGGGCUGACACUGACGCUGAGGCGCGAAAGCCAGGGUGGCGAAGAGGAUUAGAUACCCUAGUAGUCCCUGAGCGGGCUGGCAAGGCGCAU
rnacentral:rRNA from 1 species